rnacentral:rRNA from 1 species
ACGGACGAGAAGCUUGCUUCUCUGAUGUUAGCGGCGGACGGGUGAGUAACACGUGGAUAACCUACCUAUAAGACUGGGAUAACUUCGGGAAACCGGAGCUAAUACCGGAUAAUAUUUUGAACCGCAUGGUUCAAAAGUGAAAGGCGGUCUUGCUGUCACUUAUAGAUGGAUCCGCGCUGCAUUAGCUAGUUAGUAAGGUAACGGCUUACCAAGGCAACGAUGCAUAGCCGACCUGAGAGGGUGAUCGGCCACACUGGAACUGAGACACGGUCCAGACUCCUACGGGAGGCAGCAGUAGGGAAUCUUCCGCAAUGGGCGAAAGCCUGACGGAGCAACGCCGCGUGAGUGAUGAAGGUCUUCGGAUCGUAAAACUCUGUUAUUAGGGAAGAACAUAUGUGUAAGUAACUGUGCACAUCUUGACGGUACCUAAUCAGAAAGCCACGGCUAACUACGUGCCAGCAGCCGCGGUAAUACGUAGGUGGCAAGCGUUAUCCGGAAUUAUUGGGCGUAAAGCGCGCGUAGGCGGUUUUUUAAGUCUGAUGUGAAAGCCCACGGCUCAACCGUGGAGGGUCAUUGGAAACUGGAAAACUUGAGUGCAGAAGAGGAAAGUGGAAUUCCAUGUGUAGCGGUGAAAUGCGCAGAGAUAUGGAGGAACACCAGUGGCGAAGGCGACUU